AUGACGGGGAAGGGGGUGCGGCGGAGGGAGAAGAACUACCGGGCGGCGCACGGGGGCGACGCGCGGCUGCCCCCGCCGCCCAAGCAGCGGGAGCUCGAGGCGCUCCCCUCCAAGCUCCGCCGCCUCAUCGCCAUCCAGAAGAAGCAGGACGGCGCCACCACCGGCGGAGGCAAGGCCGACGCUUCCUCAGGACCAGGAGGGGCUCCCCGGAAGCACGGCACCGAUGCGACGGCCAAGGACAAGGCGGGGAAGGAUAAGAAAACCAAGAAGCCGGCAUUGGAGGCUGCCGCGGAUGCCAAGGCAGCAGAGGGUGCACCGGCGGCCGACGAGAACGCGAACGCCGACGGUGGAAAGAAGAAGAGGAAGCGGGGGAAGGUCGAGGAUCUCCGUUUCAAGGAGCUCGAGGCGAAUGUCUCGGUUUCCAAGAAGCAGAAAAGGAAGAAACAUCUGGAUGAGAAGAAAAAGAAGCGCAAGGCUGGUAAGUCCGAGACUCAUCUGGAAUUCCCUGGGCGUGAAAAGGUCAAAUUUGGUGAUAUUGUUGAGGCUCCACCAAAGCUAUCAUUCCCAAAGCGGAAGAGUCAUUUGGAUGUUUCUGCUGAGAGGCUAAGGAAAGAGGUGGUUGAGAAUUACAGAAACAUCAAAGGCUGGACAUCAAGGCCCGGUCUCCAGCUUCCCACUCUAGCUGAAUAA
rnacentral:rRNA from 1 species